AUUGAGAUUCUAUGAUUCUAAAGGCCUUUUGCGUGCUGACCUCCCAACAAGAGCCAGGAAUUGGGGGUGCCUCAGGUGCAGACUGGCAGUAGCAGUGGUAUGAAGAGUAUGUUUUCAUCAAAUGUAGAUGAGCUUUGUAUAGUAAACAGGUUCAUAGAUGUCUAUAGAAGAGGCCAUACAAUCAGCCUGUCUUCGAGGUCCUGGUCUGGAUGCUUCACAUGUAGCAUUUGCUGUUUACAGCAUUCUUUGCCUUCCUAUUCUUUCUGAGUGUUCUCAAUCCCCAUCUCAAAUGGCCCAAAGCUUCAAAGAGAAGUAUUAUUGAUGUAGUUAAGUCUAUUUUUAGCCUGCUUGUGGCUGGUGCACAUCCAAUGCUUGAAGCAUUAAAUUUUAUAUCUAUUUUAUCUACAUCAGCAACUCUUUACCCCCAAAAAAUCCAUUAAAAGAUAACAGAAGCAGCUAUCUUCAGACAACAUUCAACCGGCUCAUAUUUUGGUUGCAAAUAUGUCAUGCCCCAUCUUGCUGUAGCCAAGACAUACAUUUAACAAUUCUAAGGAACCACAGAAAGAAACAAGGGGAACUUUGAUGGUUCGUUGAGAUAGGAGGGGGCAUACCCUCUCGACUGUGCAGCUGUGUUCUGUCUUAGUAGUGCAGAGAGGUGGAAAUAGAAGUAAAGAUGCCCUGUUCCCAUCAAAAGGUUUUUGGGGUCACAGAUCUUUUUGAUUAGCUGCUCCCCAUGUGUUCAUAUGUGUUCUUUCUCUUCUCUGUUUUUUACUAUCUCUGACUGUCAGAGAGCCUUCCAAGAUGAUGGGAGGCAGCCAAACCAUGGGCUUCUGAUGUUGUUUGAUUCCUUCAUCAGGCAGAAUAAGGAGGUCUGAGGUACAAAUAAUGUUUGAGCCAUCAGAGACAGUUUGGCAAAUCUGUCCACCAGAAUUGCUCCAUGAGGCUUUGCAGGAAGGGGACCCCUAUCCUUGAAGGAUGCUAAUGAGUACAUAGCAUUGAGAAGAAACAAACUUGGGGAAUUAACCAGAUUGGUUUAAUGAAUAAACAUGGGAACAGAACCACAGGUUCCUAGACUCUAUCUUUUAUAUGGAGCUGAACAGAGGUUAAUAGCUGGAAAAUGUAGGGGAAAAAAAAAGC
rnacentral:lncRNA from 1 species